rnacentral:rRNA from 1 species
AGCAGCCGCGGUAAUUCCAGCUCCAAUAGCGUAUAUUAAAGUUGUUGCAGUUAAAAAGCUCGUAGUUGAAUUUCGGGAUUGGCGCAUCGGUCGUGCCUCACGGGGUAUGAACUGGUGCAGUCAAUUUCUCACCUUCUGGAGAACCGCGAUGUCCUUAAUUGGAUGCCGCGGGGAACCAGGACCUUUACUUUGAAAAAAUUAGAGUGUUUAAAGCAGGCAUUUUUGCUUGAAUACAUUAGCAUGGAAUAAUAAAAUAGGACGGCAUGGUUCUAUUUUGUUGGUUUCUAGGACCACCGUAAUGAUUAAUAGGGAUAGUUGGGGGCAUUAGUAUUCAAUUGUCAGAGGUGAAAUUCUUGGAUUUAUUGAAGACUAACUACUGCGAAAGCAUUUGCCAAGGAUGUUUUCAUUAAUCAAGAACGAAAGCUAGGGGAUCGAAGACGAUCAGAUACCGUCGUAGUCUUAACCAUAAACUAUGCCGACUAGGAAUCAGACGAUGUUAAUUCUUUAAUGACUCGUUUGGCACCUUACG